UUUCCUCUUUCUAUCUACUUCUUAUAUUUCAAUUGUUGUUCAUUGAGGCCAUAUUUAUAUUUCAAAUCUUGAUAAUUUUUAUUGUGAUUUCUGAGCAUCAAUACUUUUUUCAACAUAUGCAAAAAUUGCUACAUAUAUAGGUCAAUGGUGAUAUAUAUAGAAUUGUGGACCUUUGAUUAAUUUCAUUGAUAUAUCUAUAGUUGUUACUGUGGAUUGCAAUUGAAUUCCUUUAGAUUGUGUUUUAUUGAGAGAUUUUCUUAGAGCAGUGGAUUUGGGCCAAGGUUUUCCCAUUCUCUCUUUUAUUCUUCUUCUGAUUCGGGUAUAAUUUGCAAAGAAUCAAUUAUAAUUUUCAUUCUGCUAAGCUUUCUGAUUUCAAUACAGUAUACAACAUGAGUGUAUGUUUUGAUUUCAUUAUAAUUUGUAUAUGUUGAUUACAAUUUCAAUCUGUUUAGUGCUUUUCAUUACAAGUUAGAUUUGAAUUUGAUUUUCUCUAUGAUUAAACAUUUUCAAAGUUCCCUGUAUGUUUCAUAAUCUUUGUGAUGUUAAUUGAUUGUGAUUUGAAUUGUAAGGUUAGCCUUUGGAGAAGCAACAGGAGCAGAUCUAGAAUAUUUAUGAAUUUGAUAUUGACAACUCUAAUGGUUGUGCUAUGCUUUAGGUUAUUCAAAGUUUCGCUCUAAAGCAUUUUGAACUACUACUAUUAACAAUCUAGUCCCUAAAAGUUAUUAAUAAAUCUGUUAUAGAUAAGCUUGGAUAUGCUCAAACUACCUAUGUAUCACUAUAUCUUCCUCUUCUCAUCACAUCAUUUUUAUUCAUGUAAUUGCUCUUGAUGAUCGAAUGUGUAGCGAGAGAAGGAAAUAUAGAGAUUAUGCUUUCAGUUGAGAGGCCAUCUUUUGCUGACUGUUCUCAUUGUUGGUGAUCACAGGAUAUGCUGAAGCAUCACAUAAAGUAAAGCUGAAGGUUGGUCUGUUUGAUGUGGGCUUGGAGGACAUUAAGAGGGCCAGGCUGCAAAAAUGCAGCAGUUCUUUGAGUGGUCCUCAAAAAGGAAAGUUGGUGUUUUUAAUUUAUGCUAAUUUUGUACUUAGCUUACCUUAAUGGAUAUCUAAUUUUGGACGUUGUAUUGAGUGGAUGAUUAUUACAUCUGGUCUUUUUUUGAAGCCUAUCCCGGUGGGCUAUGUCUGGAGUGGAUCCCAAAACAGCGCUUUACACAGAGCUAUGGCGCGCUUGUGCUGGUCCGCUUGUGACAAUGCCUCGUGAAGGCCAGCGCGUGUUCUAUUUUCCUCAAGGACAUAUUGAACAGGUUAGUUUCCAACUCUAGGAAAUGAAUUUAUUAUCUGUGAAGUGUUUUGAGAUUUGAUAAAUAUCUCAUAAACCUUAGUUAGUUGUGUGCAAAUCUCAGGCGAUGAAUUUGAUUUUCAGCCCUAGAAUUUGAAAUUCGUCAAUUUUGAAGAGUUAAAAAACUUUGACUUGAACCAACAUUUGGGAGGAUAUGAUCUGUGUAAGACUUUGAGUGGUCCAGAUUCAUAUCCAAACAGGUCCAUAGGACACAGGAACAGUCGCCUUAGCAGAAAAGUAGAAAAAGAAAAAGGUAAUCUAUAGCUCACUUUUGAGAUUAAACAAGGAAAUGGCUAUGAACUCUCUCGAUCUCUCAAUCUCGUUCUCUAUCUCUCUCUGUCUCUCUCAAUCUUGCUUUCUCUCUCUGUUUCUCAAUCUCCUAUUCUCUCUUUAUGGUUCUUUUGAAAUCUCUAUUUUUCAUUCAUUGUCACUCAAAUUGCCCAUUGGAUUGUCCAAAAUGAUCUCUCUAGGGCAACACAAAAUCAACAUUUUUAGGUAUUUCCUUCGAUUAAUCUCUGGCAUGUUUUUUCCCCUCUCCCUCUCUCUCUCUCUCUCUCUCUAUAUAUAUAUAUAUACAUAUAUAUAUA